rnacentral:rRNA from 1 species
UACAGAGGUCCCAAGCGUUGUUCGGAUUCAUUGGGCGUAAAGGGUGCGUAGGUGGCGCGCUAAGUCGGGUGUGAAAUUUCGGAGCUUAACUCCGAAACUGCAUUCGAUACUGGUGUGCUUGAGGACUGGAGAGGAGACUGGAAUUUACGGUGUAGCGGUGAAAUGCGUAGAUAUCGUAAGGAAGACCAGUGGCGAAGGCGGGUCUCUGGACAGUUCCUGACGCUGAGGCACGAAGGCCAGGGGAGCAAACGGG